GAGGGUAGAGCUCAGUGGUAGAGCAUAUGCUUAGCAUGCAUGAGGUCCUGGGUUCAAUCCCCAGUACCUCCA
rnacentral:tRNA from 1 species